rnacentral:tRNA from 1 species
GUCUCUGUGGCGCAAUCGGUUAGCGCGUUCGGCUGUUAACUGAAAGGUUGUUGGGUCAAGCCCACCCAGGGAGG